CGAUCUCGACAGGGGCGUCUGCGAUUGCAGGCUGAGAAGGACCCUUUGAACCUGAACCAGAUCAUGCUGGCGGAGGGAGUCGCGACGGCGCAUUC
rnacentral:ncRNA from 2 species